rnacentral:rRNA from 1 species
UACGUAGGGGGCUAGCGUUGUCCGGAAUCAUUGGGCGUAAAGAGCGUGUAGGCGGUCCGGUAAGUCCGCUGUGAAAGUCGGGGGCUCAACCCUCGAAUGCCGAUGGAUACUGUCGGGCUAGAGUGCGGAAGAGGCGAGUGGAAUUCCUGGUGUAGCGGUGAAAUGCGCAGAUAUCGGGAGGAACACCUAUUGCGAAGGCAGCUCGCUGGGACGUAACUGACGCUGAGACGCGAAAGCGUGGGGAGCAAACAGG